rnacentral:tRNA from 1 species
AAGCCAAAAAUAAAUUAUUUUUAGUUUCGACCUAAAAAAAGGAACAUUCCUUGGCUUA